UACGGAGGAUGCGAGCGUUAUCCGGAUUUAUUGGGUUUAAAGGGUGCGUAGGCGGAGUGUCAAGUCAGCGGUAAAAUUUCGGGGCUCAACCCCGUCGUGCCGUUGAAACUGACACCCUUGAGUGAGUGAGAAGUAAGCGGAAUGCGUGGUGUAGCGGUGAAAUGCAUAGAUAUCGCGCAGAACUCCGAUUGCGAAGGCAGCAUGCCGGCUCCACACUGACGCUGAGGCACGAAAGCGUGGGUAUCGAACAGG
rnacentral:rRNA from 1 species